AGGAGGAAGAUGGGGAGGAGGAGGAGAGGAGUGCUAUCCUGUCAAACGGUGCAGGAAGGGAGAUUAUUGGUGUUCUUUUUUUCGUUGUUUUUUUUGGGAGGGGCGGGGGAUGAAGCGGCCUUCUUGUCCUACAGAGCAUCUAUAAGUUUCUGAUCGUGGCAAUCUGAAGUUCCCACUGCAGGCAAAUAAAGCUGUGAUAAAAAAGCCAGUGUCAGAAAAUCCAAAGAAGGCAGAACCAAAUUAUGAAAAGUCAUUUCGAAUUGUGACUAUUCUUAAGAGAGAUGGAAUCUUGCUUCCCUUUUACUCCUAUCUCCUGUAUGAAAAGCAGGGAUCUAUUUACCUGACCUCUUCCUCUAUGUCCCAUGGCUAUCUGACCUCUCUGCUCUCCCACCCUAACAGCCCUCCCCUCCUCUUCAUUUGUAGAUGGAGUUUCUCUCCCUACUUGGUGAUUAAUUCUAUCAAAGCCGGCCCCAUUUUUGAUUCUCUCAUCAAUAAAUAAAUCCGUAAUCCCACAGAUGCUGACAAUAGUGAACCCCCUUUUUAUUUGAGUUCUACCUGCUCCGAAAAAUAAUAAUAGAAAAAAAAAAGACACACAACCCCUCCACCAACAACUCAGAUCAGCCUUUUUCUCCCAGCCAGACCCAACUCUCUCCCCAUUAUCCUCUUGGCUGUUUGCAAGGGGGUUUCCUCUCUUUCUUUUUUAUCUCUGUACUCACUCCAUGACCCCUGUUCCCCUGUUUCUUGCUGUCUGACCUAACCCCCCACCCCCACAUCCACACCCCUUGCACUCCCCGCAAACACACUCACAACUGCCACCCCACCACCACCUCACUCCCCUCAGCCUUCAGCUUUUACCCCAACAGUACCACUGUCUCUGUUCAUCGCAAGAAAAGGAAAAAAAAAAAAUGUUUCACCCUUUUUUCUCGUUUUUCUCUGGGAUAAAACCCCCCCUAAUAAUCAUCGUUCUACUUUUUUUUUUGUUAAUCUGACUGUACUUCGAACCCUCCUUUCCAAAAAUGAUGUUUUAGUAUUACAUUUAUGCCGAUUUUUGCAUUUUAAUUACUUAUUUUUUCUAAUUAUUUUGUGAGGUUAUUGUCAAAAAAGGCCUCUUUCCCACUGCAGCCAGGUUUUUUUCCCCCAUUGCAUUUGUUCUGAUUUUGCGUAUUUUGGCAUUUUAUUCUAUUUUGAAUAUUUUUUUAGAUAAACUGAUGCUGUAACUAAACGCCACCCGCGGAUGCAGCUUGGACCGCCAUCUAAGUUUCCGAUGGUUACUUUGCAUUAAUUCUAACAUCCUAAGAUCAGAUGUAAAGGGCAGUAUUUUCUCUCCACGAGAAAGAAAUAUUCCCUUGAAAGUCAGAGUCGGUAGCCGAGUAUAGUUCGAGGGAGCAAAGCCAGCCUCCCUGUCUCUUCCCUGAACCCACAUGUCUGAUCCCUCGUCACGCAGCUCCCACUCGCAGCCUGUCCGUGUGCGGGGUCCUGCUGAUCCGCUCUUGUCACGCAGGAGACCCGGUGCUCCGUUUUUUCUCCCAACCCCAUCAACAACACCAACACCACAUUCAACUCAACGCCGAGCCCCCCUGAUGCACGCACGCACGCACGCACACGCAUACACACACACACGCACGCUUGUCAAUCGAUCUGCAUGUGACUUCGUCAGUGAAUGAGCGAGAAUCGAGUGAAAAACAUCACCGAAAGGAGGCAAACAGCUGUUGUAAAAUAAAAAAAGGGGCUAAAACACGGAGAAAGUGUUUGGGGGGAAAAAGUGUGCGGCUGACGGAGCUGAGGCUGGGCGGAGGGAUUGCACAUUUCACACAAGAGACGUUGUCGGAGAAGAACAAAACUGUCCUCAGCCAGAAGAGGAUUUUAUUAGAAAUCGACGGUGGCGAAACUCUCUGGAUGUGGAAAGUGUCAAAUCUGUUCAGAAAAACAGAGCAGAAAGCGAAAGAUGCUCCCCCUGUUUUCCCGGACGCCCACGGACCCACAGGCUGGACUUGGAGCUCCUUCCCUGGGCUGCGCUCAUGUGGAGCUGCCGCUGCCCCUCGUCCGCUCUGCACAGCUUUCCCCCCCACCACCACCUCCUUGUUGCAUUUGUGCUUUAAAACACGUCUCUUAACAACCAUUAGCCCUCCAUACCCAUUUCCCCGAUCCCACCGCAGAAAACAAAACACGAAUCUGUUUUUAAAACCGUGUUUUUCUACGAUCAACUGCUCUGGAGCGGAUCGCUGUCUUGCCCGUUUCUUAUCUUCCAUUCAUGAGAGGAGGAGAGGACGGAACGCUCAUGUAAACACAGAACAAGAGGUUAUAAUAAAGAACAAGAAACACAACUCAGACCAAAGAGUGCCUCUAAUUAUUAGACGUAAGUUGUAGGUUGUAUUGAUUUAGAGCUAUAAAAUGCUAAAAUUCAAGCUCUUCUCAUAUUUAUUAAAAUAAUAAAAUUUUGCCUUUAAAAUGAAGAAUUAGGUACAUUUUUAAAGGGAUGAUAAAAGCGUCUAUGAUUUACCUUUUACUCUCAGCUCACAGCACACGCAGAUUUUUGUUGCUUCACAACACACUUCUAGAAAGGAAAUAUCUCGCAGAUCUGACGGAGUAGAGCACAAUUUGAAAUAUUUGCUUUCAUUCAAAAAGUGAAAAAAAGAAAUCACCAGAGCUGCUUGCAUUUGUACAGUAUGUCUGCAACUUCAGCUCGUCUCUGAAAUACCUGCUUAAGCUUCAGUGCAUUUUUCCCCCCCAUAAACGUGUUCAUGUUUCAAAUCAAAAUUAAGAAGAUGUGUGUAGCAAUAUUUUCAAAAGUAUGAAUAGAUUUGUUCUUACCAAGCACACCAGUGAAAGAAAGACUUGUGAGUGUAGGUGUGAUGAACCAGCAUGCCAUUGUGACAUCUGUUACCAAACUUGUGGGAACACGUUGUCAAUACGUGUGGGUUCAUGUAAAUAACAAUAAUAACUGUAAAAAAA